GGGGUUGUAGCUCAGCGGUAGAGCACUUGCCUAGCACGUGCAAGGCCCUGGGUUCUAUCCUCAGCUCCA
rnacentral:tRNA from 1 species